UUGGGCCUUCACAUACGCCUCCUUGGCGGCG
rnacentral:sRNA from 1 species